rnacentral:rRNA from 1 species
CCUACGGGUGGCAGCAGUGAGGAAUCUUGGUCAAUGGGCGUAAGCCUGAACCAGCCAAGUAGCGUGAGGGAUGACUGCCCUAUGGGUUGUAAACUUCUUUUAUAAGGGAAUAAAGAUGUGCACGUGUGUGUGUUUGUAUGUACUGUAUGAAUAAGGAUCGGCUAACUCCGUGCCAGCAGCCGUGGUAAUACGGAGGGUCCGAGCGUUAUCCGGAUUUAUUGGGUUUAAAGGGAGCGUAGGUGGGUUGUUAAGUGUGCUGUGAAAGUUUGCGGCUCAACCGUACAAGUGCGAUGGAAACUGGAAGCCUUGAGUGCAGUUGAGGCAGGCGGAAUUCGGGGUGUAGCGGUGAAAUGCUUAGAUAUCACGAAGAACUCCGAUGGCGAAGGCAGCCUACUGAACUGUCACUGACACUGAUGCUCGAAAGCGUGGGUAUCAAACAGGAUUAGAUACCCCGGUAGUC